rnacentral:rRNA from 1 species
GCAGUCGACGCGAAAGUAGCCUUCGGGCUGCAAGUAGAGUGGCAAACGGGUGAGUAACGCGUGGGUGACCUAUCUUCGAGUGGGGGAUAACGUUUCGAAAGGAACGCUAAUACCGCAUAACAUCCCGCCUUUGGAAAGGUGGUGAUCAAAGCCGGGGAUCGCAAGACCUGGCGCUUGAUGAGGGGCCCGCGUCCGAUUAGCUUGUUGGUGGGGUAACGGCUCACCAAGGCGACAAUCGGUAGCCGGCCUGAGAGGGCGGACGGCCACACUGGGACUGAGACACGGCCCAGACUCCUACGGGAGGCAGCAGUGGGGAAUUGUUCGCAAUGGGCGAAAGCCUGACGACGCAACGCCGCGUGGAGGACGAAAACCUUCGGGUCGUAAACUCCUGUCGAGUGGGACGAAUACUACCUGGGUUAAUACCUCAGGUGGCUGACGGUACCACUAAAGGAAGCCCCGGCUAACUCCGUGCCAGCAGCCGCGGUAAUACGGGGGGGGCAAGCGUUGUUCGGAUUUACUGGGCGUAAAGAGCUCGUAGGCGGCUUGCUUAGUCGAACGUGAAAUCCCUUGGCUCAACUGAGGAACUGCGUCCGAUACUGGCAGGCUUGAAUCCGGGAGAGGGAUGCGGAAUUCCAGGUGUAGCGGUGAAAUGCGUAGAUAUCUGGAGGAACACCGGUGGCGAAGGCGGCAUCCUGGACCGGUAUUGACGCUGAGGAGCGAAAGCCAGGGUAGCAAACGGGAUUAGAUACCCCGGUAGUCCUGGCCCUAAACGAUGAAUGCUUGGUGUGGCGGGUAUCGAUCCCUGCUGUGCCGAANCUAACGCAUUAAGCAUUCCGCCUGGGGAGUA